UCUAAAAUGGCAGAUUAGUGCAAUAAAUUUAAGAUUUAUAAAUAAAUAAUAUUUUUUUAGAA
rnacentral:tRNA from 1 species